rnacentral:misc_RNA from 1 species
GAUGAAGAACGUUGCGAAAUGCGAUACGUAAUGUGAAUUGCAGAAUUCAGUGAAUCAUCGAGUCUUUGAACGCACAUUGCGCCCCCUGGUAUUCCGGGGGGCAUGCCUGUCCGAGCGUCAUUGCUGCCCUCAAGCACGGCUUGUGUGUUGGGCCUCCGUCCUCCUCCCGGGGGACGGGCCCGAAAGGCAGCGGCGGCACCGCGUCCGGUCCUCGAGCGUAUGGGGCUUCGUCACCCGCUCUUGUAGGCCCGGCCGGCGCUUGCCGACACAUCAAUCUUUUUUCCAGGUUGACCUCGGAUCAGGUAGGGAUACCCGCUGAACUUAAGCAUAUCAAUAAGCGGAGGA